AUGCCUCGGGCUGCUUUUUGCCCACCUCGGUCGUCCUAUCCACAUGGGCCGGCCCGGCAGCGGCUAGCAGCAAAAUCGCCAGCGCCGUGUGAUGCCUGGGUUCCUGCCGCGGACAGUGGCGCGUUCUGCCCUUGCGAGAUGGCGGCGGCGAGUAUGCCACCGUCGAAGAAGAAGAGGGUGGAGGGCAUGCCCUCCAAGAGCCUGAUGGUCGCCGUCGCAAGCGCCUCAACAACCGUGAACCGUCUCUCCAUGCUACGCUCCGUCAUGCCCAGGAUCAUCAAGAUUGACAGAAUGUCGAUCCUGGGGACGCGAUCGACUACAUGA
rnacentral:rRNA from 1 species